GACCUGGUGGUGUGUGGUGCACACCUACUUGACUUUGAAGUAUUCGGUGGUUUAUGUGGGAGGUCCCCGUUCGAUUCGGGGUCAGGUCA